rnacentral:lncRNA from 1 species
GUGAGUUCUUCUCUCAACCCAGAAAGGAUUACAAGGCAGAGUCAAAGGGGAUCGAGCAAAAGUAUUUAUUGUAGAGCAAAAGCAGAAAGCAGCAUUUGUUAUAAAGUGAAAGCAAACAGCCCAGGCAAACGAACCCCGGGAGACCCGAAUAGGUUGCCAAAGGGAAAUGGCUAUGUCUCAGGCAAGCCAGAUGACUGUUUGGCCACCAUGAGGACUCGAGAUUGCUGGUGUGAAUUAAAACAACAUGAGACAGGAGGAUAAAAGAAAAAGAACUCCUGAUGGCAGGAAAAUACCCCGUGGUGACUGUGAUCCUGAUGUGUCAGCUGGACUAGAUUAUGGCAGGCCUAGUGGGGUAGUAAAGGACAGUUCUGGACCUGUCUCAGGCGUUUCCAGAGGUGACUGGACACAGGCCAGCCAACUGCGGGAGGGGACGCACCUUGGUCAUGGGACGCACCGAACAAUAAGCUUGUGGCUUGGGACAAUCAAAGGGAAAGAAAGAAGUUGGCACACGUGCUGAUGACUCCAUUCCACUUGAGCGCAUGGCGUUUGCUGCCAUGGGCUUCAGACUCCAUGCAGACUCCGGAGCAACUCUCCAGGAGCUCCCAGGCCUUCAGUCUUGGACUGGCACUGUACACCUGAUCCCUGUUCUGUGGCUUCUUGGACUGAAGAUCUACUGGAUCCUCCAGCUGUCCAGCACACAGAUGGCCUCUGUGGACACUGGAGACGCGCACCUCUGAUCCCAUGAGCCUACCUAAUACAUUCUCUUGCAAAAUCAUAUAUUCCACACACAAAUAUAUAUAUAUAUAUACACACACACACAUACAUACGUACAUAUACACAUAUAUAGACAUACAUAUACACACAUAUAUAUAUAUACCACAUGGAAAUAUGAAAUAUGUUAAUUGAAGAUAAUUAGUCUUGUUUAUUCUUUUUUUUUUUGGUACUGGAGAUCGAACUCGGGACCUUGCGCUUGCGAGGCAGGUGCCAGAACCACUGAGCUAAAUCCCUGGCCCGUGACUUGUUUAUUCUUGCAGUCUCCCUGACAACGUGUGCUGCUUACAGUACCUAAAUUAUAUCUUUAAUUUAAUAAGUAUGCCCACUAAUUAAUUUCAUAGAUAAACUGCUAAGUGUCCAUGCUGUGUAAGUUUUUUUCACUGUGUUAAGAAUUUCUGUAUGCAUUUUCAGUCCUCUUAUUUACCAAAGUAUGGCAUGUCAAACAUAUAUGUUGCAUAGCAGCACUCAUAUUUUUUAUCAAAACUCCACUCACUAUGACUAUUCAAAUAUCUCAU